CAUACAAUGGUCUAACUGAAGGUAGACAAGCCGCGAGUUGGAGCCAAUCUCACAAAACCGAUCGUAGUCCGGAUUGCACUCUGCAACUCGAGUGCAUGAAGUCGGAAAAUAUAGUAAUCGCAGGUCAGCAUAUUGCGGUGAAUACGUUCCCGGGUCUUGUACACACCGCCCGUCACACCAUGGGAGUGGGGGAUACCAGAAGUAGGUAGGGUAACCGCAAGGAGGGCGCUUACCACGGUAUGAUUCAUGACGGGGGAAGUUUUAAAAAGAGGAAAACCGUG
rnacentral:rRNA from 1 species